rnacentral:lncRNA from 1 species
AUGGCUAAAGGAGAUGGAAGAGGGGCAAUCACCCAAUACUCCUCUCAUGCCCAUCUCAGAAGAUUUAUUUCAGCAUCACACCAUUGGUUCCUUCCCCAGUUUCCAAGAUCGGAAGAGCCCCCCCCCCCCCCCCCCCCCCCCCCCCCCCCCCCCCCCCCCCCCCCCCCCCAGGCAAGGCAACACUCUGGCAGUCGGCCAAGAGAGCCACACAGAUUAUUGCAUACGCACGGCACCGCCGGGCCAAGGCGGCCUUUAACCCUUUGCGAGCCGCCGCACGCUGCCCGGGGGCGGGGAGGGGGGCUGGGGGCUCGCCUCGACACUUACCUCCUCCUUCCCCUUGUAACACUUCAAAGGCCAGGCUGCCUCUCUAUGGUGGGAUUAAUCCCUGCGCACGCCAAUGUUCCAGAGAAGUCCCCCCCCCCCCCCCCCCCCCCCCCCCCCCCCCCCCCCCCCCCCCCCCCCCCCCCCCCCCCCCCCCCCCCCCCCCCCCCCCCCCCCCCCCCCCCCCCCCCCCCCUCCUGUAGCAGGCUGCGUCGCGGGGCUCUCAAAUCACUUUGCAGGCAGAAAGAAAUGAGAUGGGGAGGGGAGAAAAAAAAAAAAAGACACAACCCAACCCCAAACCUAUAUUGUUUAAGGGGGAAGAAACAGACAGCUAGCAACGUGUGCUGUCCUUCAGAAAUGGCAGGAAAUGCUGGUUUAAAGGAUGCAUGAAAAUCGGUUGCUCAGUCAAGGCUGGUCUGUCUCUCUAAGGGAGGAAACAAAACUGCUGGAAACCAGGGAAUGCUCUGAAGCAGCCUCUGCGAGAGUCAGAAGAGGGUGAUUUUAUUUAAGAUGCCAUAUUGCAUUUCGCUGUGGCGAACUGUGAAGUGAUUUAGAGCAAGAGCCUGCAUCCCACUCCCUUUUUCUGAAUUAGUUUUAUUUAUCCGGAUCCUUGGCAUAUGCUUGAGUUGCUUUGUAGAAAGUACCUUCCACUUCAUUCAGACCAAAGAGAGUCUGACUCAUACCGUCACUGAACUACAAGACAGGCAGGGCUGAACCACGCAUGUUUGGGUACUAACUCCCUCUGGAUUCCUCAGCACUGGUUUCAUCAAAGAUCCCUUUGCAUGUCUCCCAGCUGCCUGCAGACCACUGUGAGCCUCUCCUGAACUUCACCCCCACCUCCCGCGAUCUAUGGCAACUUACACUCCCCUGGCACUCCAGCAUCAGUGUGUUACUCUCUUACUUCCCUCAACGCAGGUGCCUGCAAGUGCCAUAAACUGCACUGAUGGGCAAGUAACAAGCACAGAUGCAAAACAGAGAUCAGAGGAAAUACCUUCCUUCUCGACUGUUUCAGUCUGGUCUUCAUUUAAAAAAAAAUUUAAAAACCAAAAAAACAACACCCCCCCCCAAAUCAACUUACCAAGCUAGGUACAAAGAAAUAAAACAAAUUAUGAAAGCAAUGAAUAGGAUGAGUGCAGCCAAAGGAUAGUGGGAUGCUAUGCUGGCAUGCAACCCAACAGUGGUCCAUAAGAAACUAUUCACUCUCUGCUUUGGCAUCAGGAAGAGAAGUAGAGCACAGAGGCCUCUCCCCACCCCAAGAACAUUGCAAAAAAAUGUUGCAUAAAUACCAAGGGCUGUUACAUGCUGACUCCAAGGAGCUGGAUGUUGUGGGGUCCCAGGCCUCAGAAAGGCACUCCAUGUAGCAUAGACAUCCAGAUCAAGUUGUUUAUUGCAGUUUGUACAUUUUGCCAUGACAAUAAGCUCCAAGGUACCAGGUUUCUAGCAGGUAUACCUCAUAUGUGUCCAUUUUAUAUUAGCAUAAUGUUUUAGCUGUGAAGUAAAUCUAGCACUAGAGUCUAGAUGCAAAGUACCCUAGGAUUCAGCCUGCCAUUAUGCAGAUCAGCAAAGGAGUCCCCUAGGAUUCAGCCUGCCAUUAUGCAGAUCAGCAAGGGAGUCCCUUCUAUAAAGGACUGAAAUGACUUACUAUAAUUGCUAAGGAAUGUAGUAAUAACAUUGUAAACUUCUAUAAAGGACUGAAAUGACUUACUAUAAGGAAUGUAGUAAUAACAUUGUAAGCUGCAGUGUUCUGGAUUUAAGAGUUGAUACUGUAAUACAGACUAGCUCUAUGAAACAAGGAUCUUUCACCAUAGCAUCUCCUGUAUCUUCAGUUUGGGUUCACUAUGAAAAUCAAUAUGAUUUUCUGUUCUAGCAGUGAUCUGGAGACAGAAGCAGCAAUAGACCAAGAUACCUGGCCAAACAUGCCACUCAGUACUACGAGAGAGAUAAUCUACAGCAGCAAAGCAGACAGCAAAAUUGUAUUCACCCAGCUAAUGUAAGGUUCAUUGAUUUAAUAAAAGGAACCAAGGGAAAGAGACAUAGACUGGAGAUUACUGAAAAUCAAGUGAAAGCCCAGAAGAAACUGAAAACACAUCAUCGAGGUUCAAUUCAGAGUACAAGGCAUUCUGUCUGCCACCUUUUUUAUUCCAGUAGUACAGAGCGUUACCUCAGGAGAAAGGAAUCUUUCCUUCUCAAACAUUCACCUUGCCAAGAGGUGUGGCAUGCACAGAGAAAGAGAAGCCACAUUCAUGCUGAAGCAAGCUUUGGGCAACUUUCCCUUCUGCAGCAGGCUCAUGUAAGAGGCUUG